UACCAGCACCCCCGAGUGGUCGGGACGUUUAUUGGGCCCAAAGCAUCCGUAGCCGGUUCUACAAGUCUUCCGUUAAAUCCACCUGCUUAACAGAUGGGCUGCGGAAGAUACUAUGGAGCUAGGAGGCGGGAGAGGCAAGCGGUACUCGAUGGGUAGGGGUAAAAUCCGUUGAUCCAUUGAAGACCACCAGUGGCGAAGGCGGCUUGCCAGAACGCGCUCGACGGUGAGGGAUGAAAGCUGGGGGGAGCAAACCGG
rnacentral:rRNA from 1 species